rnacentral:lncRNA from 1 species
CGGGUGCCCGCCGGGCGAGGGCGGACGGACCGACCGCCGGCGGCCCCUGACGCACGCCGCGCUCCGGCCCCCUCCCGGGCGCCACGGCGGGAGGCGGGGGUGGCGGUGUCUGCGCGCACUCGCUCGCUCACAGACACACACACAGACACACACGCGCGAGCCACGCCACAGACACACGACACGCACGGAGCCGUGGCCGAGCUCGCUGAGCCCGCCAGGCGCCGCGCACACUCGCCCAGGCUCACACGCACACUCGCGCGCAGGGCCCGCCGCGGCCCGGAGGCGGCCCCGAUCUCGGAGGGGCUGGAGAGCAGAGACGACUGGCCACCCUGAGCGCAAUUCAAUUCAACAGACAUUUACUGAGUGCCUACUAUGCGCCAGGCCUUAGGCUAGGCACUGGGGUGGGGGGUGCAGAGAGGAAAGUGGGGCCCGGUCCUCAGGUAGCUCUGGGUUUGGGGUUGGGGGGCAUGGAGAGACAGUCCAGGGCCCAACAGCUUGGCACUGGGGGAGGAGCGGUGUGGAAGGCUAGGGGCAGCAGAGACAAGGGUUUCAGUGCAUUACUGGAGAGCUGCUUUUCCUUGUCUGUGCCUCAGUUUCCCCACCUGUAAAAUGGGAGGAGGUGAGGUGGAGAGAUGAUUUCUAGGAGCCUUUCAGGCCGUGCAUGCAUCACAGGGGGUGGGAACAGAGCAGGGGAGGCCAUCACUCUGCAGAGGAGAUGUCUCUGGAGGCUUCUGAGAGGGCGAGGUAUAAGAUUGAGACCUCAGGGGGCCCUACAGGUGGCCUUGGCUCCCCAGGCUCAGGAACUGCAUAAGCAGAGGCCUGAAAGACAGGAAGAGGGCAUCCCGAAACCUCACAGGGUCAUGAAGGGAUAGGGUAAGGUAUGAGCUUAGAGAGGGGCUUGAGAGCCACAAGGUAGGGCAUGAGCGCUAUUCUGGGGCAGUGGGAGCCAUGGAAGGCUGUUGAGGGAGAGCCAGAAACAGUUGGUCCUGGGCAGCCCCUGCCUUCCCUGGGGUACAUUACCCUAGGGCCCUGCAGCCGUGUGGCCCUGGCAUUGUCAGCACUGAGCUGGCCACUUUCCACCUUAGUCCUCAUGCAGCCCCAUCAGCGACAUUACUGGACCCCAUUCACAGAAGGGGACACUGAGGCUCAGAGAGGGGAAGCUUCUUGCCUAAGGUCAUGAUGCAAGCCCCGACCCCCAUGCCAAAGAGGUCUCUGCUCUGUGUAAGCUCAUCCAUCCUGCCCACCCCAAAGGCCUGAGGUGCCUGCCAGAGUUGAGUUUGGGGUGAGGGGUAGGAAGCUCCCAAAUGUUGUUAGCAGGGCCGGCUUUCUCUAGGACCUGAGCUCCUUCCCACUUUACAGACGGACAGAUUGAGGGCCUGAGAGUCACAUUGCUGGGCCAGGGUUGAACUUGAGCAACCAACAGCAUAGGGUGGGAGCCUGUCUCCUCAUCAUCUAACUGAGGCUGGGGGCCUCAAGUCCUUGAGACCUGUGCAGAAGCCGGACACCCAAGGCCCUGCCCAGGAAGUGGGAAGAGCUGGUAUUGGCGUCACAGACCAUUGUUCAAAUCCUGACUUUGUCUUGGAUGAGCUGUGUGAUGGUGCGCAAGUCAUGAAGUACUCUGGGCCUCGGUUUCUUUAUCUGUACCAGGGAGGACGGGCCUCUCCAUUCCCUCAUUAACACACAUUUAUUGAGCACCUACUGGGGGCCUGGGUGCCAGGCCCUUCCCUGGGGGAAACUGUAGUUAUGGAUCCCCAGUGAGGAGGGAGACCAGGGGCUGUGGGAGCCCAGCCAGGUGAGGGCAGGACAGGAGGCAGGUGCCAGCUCCCGCAGGACCAUGUGGGUGGGCUCUGGAUGCGUUGGAAUUUUCCCGGAUCAGCCAGGGAGUGCCAUGCUCAGUCUCAGGGUGUAGAAAGCUUCUCCUUGCAGGGUGAGGGGCGGGUGCAGUUGGGCCAUAGGAUCAGAAGCAGAGAGCCUGGUGAGGUGCUGGAAAGGGGGCAGAACCAGAGCAGGCACAGUGGCCCGGUGGGUACAGAGCCCUCCCAGGUGUGGGCACUGGGUGGAUGAUGGGUCUGGGGCUGGAGAGAAGCCUGUUAGGGGCAGAUGGGCAGUGUGGGCUGGGUGUCCAGGCCUAGCUGUGGUGGGGGUGAUGGGUGGAGUUCUAGGUGCCCGGAGGAGCCAGGGGACAGUAGGGACAUGGUUGUUUGGUUGUGGUCAGCUUGAGGCUGAUAGAGGAGCCCCCCUGGGGGUCUGAGAUGGUCAUAGGGGAGGCAGGUAUGAGCAGAGCUGGGAGCUGGGCCCAGGACCUCCAGGGAGGGCCAUGCUUAGAGACAGGGAACAGGGGAAAGACGGGUUCAGGUCCUCGACCCAGGGUGAUAGCACUUCUAGGAGGGAAGGUGGUGGGCUUAGGUCUUCCAGAGAUCCUGAAUUCCAGGAGUUGUGGGAGGUGGCGGGAGGGUCCAGCCCCUGGCUUUUCCCGGAAGUCAGGACCUAAGUCAUCCCAAGAAAGAGGAGGCCCCAGAGGGGGGAAGGUGUUUGUGAAGGAGGGAAAAAUAUUUGCAUGCAUAACAAGGCUGAAGGGAGGGAGAGAAAAAGGGGAGAGAGAGAGAGAGAGAGAGAGAGAUGAAAAGAAAUUACCAUACAUCAGGAUCUUGUUAUUCAACCUAAUUUUCAAAGGACCACAGCUGUCGCACUGAGAUAAUCCGUUAAUUAUAACAGCCAUUGUGCUUUGGCAAUGGGAGAGAAACCGAGGCCGGGAACAGGCUGAAGGCGGGGGGAGGGAGCAGGCUUUUGAGGGGGCCUGGACCUCAGAGAGGGGGUAGGGACAGAGGCAAAAGGGUGUGCUGCUCGGAGCCAGGCCUCAGCCUUGCUCACUGUUAUGUGAAAGCUGUGCAUCGAGGCCCUGCACGUGCCAGGCAUGUCCCACACUCCUGGAAGGGGCCCUUGAGGAUAUCUGCAGCAGCUGACUUUACUGAGCAGUUAUUGUGGUGCCAGACCCUGCUCUGUGGCUGUUCCCUCUAGCUAGUGCCCUUCUUGCCCAUUUUACAGGAGAGGACACUGAGAUUCAGGGGAAGGAAGCAGCUUGCCAGAGCCAUGGCUAAAUGGGGAGCCUGGAUUGGAGGGGAUGUGGCCCCUCCCCUUCCAGGAGCUCCUAAGUUGGAUUGGCCACCAGGAGUUGGUGGACACGGAAGCUGCCAUCGUUCAGGGCCCUCUGUUCUGCCCAGCCAGCCAUCGCCAGUCACUGGUGGCCCUCCCCCAGCAUUUCCAAAGCUUGAGGGAGCCCCUG